rnacentral:rRNA from 1 species
GGGUCAGUGGGUUGGUCGUGCCACCGGUACGUACUGGUCUCACUGAUUCCUCCUUCCUGAAGAACCGUAAUGCCAUUAAUUUGGUGUUGCGGGGAAACAGGACUGUUACUUUGAAAAAAUUAGAGCGUUUAAAGCAAGCUAACGCUUGAAUACAUUAGCAUGGAAUAAUGAAAUAGGACGAUCGAUCCUAUUUUGUUGGUUUCUAGGAUUGACGUA